UGGCUCAGUGGUUAAAGCGUCUGCCUGGAAUGCGGGAGACCUGGGUUCAAUCCCUG
rnacentral:tRNA from 1 species